GCCUUGAGACUUCUGGUAUUUGGUGGAGGCCACAUAGGAUGCCUUCACUGUCUGUACCACCGCAUUCAUCAAAUUCUUGGCGGCCUGGAUCAGGGACAUGGCACUGUCCACCUGAGAAGUACAGACAGGGUGGGAGAGACCAGCCAGGAAUUGGCUCCCAGCUGUCACCAGGCACUGCGGUUCAUCAGGGUGCCUGACAUGAAGCCCAUGGGCACUGAGGACGGAGAAGAAACCAAUGGUUUUUCCACAGUGCACUUUCCUGGUUUCAGGGCAGGUCCAUUUCUUCUCAUUUGGAGAAGUUGACAGCAGCCUGAAUUUCCGACCCACUUUCAAGAACAAGUUUUUGUGUGGAGAAAACACACUGCAAGGGAUAGAAACCUAACAUGGAAGCUUCCAGAUCACACCUGUACACGAAAAGAAGCUGCUUAAUUUUUUGGUGAGUUUAUCCUCUGCCUGCUGCCGUGGGGAGAGGACAUACGAGAAGGGAAUGAUGCAUGGAGCCCUCUCCCUGGUGGGCCCUGCCUGAGCACUUCCCAUGGCUUCUACUUUUAGCUAUGUGACAUGGCACUGAAACCCUAUAAAAGCAGCAUCUAGAGGCCUGGUGCCCACCUCAAGGCCCACGGACACCAAGCCUGGAGCUGCUCCCCACUCAGCUUCCCCAAGCGCUCAUGAUGGAGUGGGGUCCAAAAGCAAGGAUGCAUUUGCUGUUCAAAAUGAUUUCUACGGAGUGCAAAAAGACUCCACAGAAAUAUUUCUUGGCAUGCUCCCAAAAACAUAAAUGCUAUUGAUUGAAGAUUUAAUGACUCAAAUGAAUGCAAUGGCUCUGAAUGAUUUUCUUGAAUGUACCACUGUUGUUUUUUUUUUGUAAACCAUGAAUAAUUAAAUAGUUCAUACCCAUGAUAUCAUUAAAUUGGGCAAAGACAGCAAUCUUUUUCGAAUUUCACAAUCCUUUUAACAAACAUUGCAUUGACUGGAUGCUAGGGUGCUCCCGAUGCAGGGCUCUGUCAUCAACCAAAGCCCCAGGGCACAGCUGAGGCAGAGGGCUUGUUCCUGCCCUGCUCCCAACCAAGGAGGCAUUCUGGAGGAACAUACAACAGGCUAGCAUGUGCCACAACUGAGGUUCACCUCAGUCCUGCUGCCAGAGAGAGAAUGGGAAAAUGGUGUUCUCAAUACUCAGUGUUUUCCUAGAAAAUAAAAAGCCAAGUUCCUAGUGGCACAGGGAGGAGCAGCAAAGUGAAGUCAAAUAAUGUCUCUUACCCGGGC